rnacentral:lncRNA from 1 species
CUGUCACAGGAACAACAGCAGCGAAUCCUGUGGUUGAAACCACAGCACUUCCCUCACAGCGGGGCGGCGGGGGCGGGGGAUCAUUGUGGGCUUGGAGCGUUGUUAGGUUUGAGCCUACCCAGAUUAUUUUAUUCAUGAUGAAAUAUAAGGCGGAGAAUCGCUGUGUGAGAGGACAGAAGCUGAUCCGCCCCUGCCCCUCCCUGCCAGCCUGUGCUACCCGCUUUGGCUGGAAGGAUCAAAAGGAGGUUAUACCAAAGUGGUUCUGAGCCAGUGAAAAACAAAUUCAAGCUGCUAACAACAUAAUGAAGAUGAUGGGCUUCGUUGGGAAGAAAAUCAUGUUUGAUUUACUGCCGGAGCUGUCGUGACUACCAUUUCUGAGCACCUGCUGUCACCAAGGAUAGCACUAGAGUAUCUUCUUUUUACCAUUGUCAAAGAACUUGCUACACUUUCCAUACACCUGGCAUCGCUGCAUGAGGCCAUCCUUGACCAGUAUGUGGAGCUGACAAGUUCCAGACUUUUUCCUGCUGAAGAAGAGGCUGAGCAUGAGCAGAGACCAAAAAAACGGUGGCCAACAGUGACAGCACAGAAAAGGCCAGCGCUGCUCAACCCCGGGCUCCCCCUUCUGUUUCUUCUCCUGUCAACUUGGAAGACCCACCCCACCCACUCCUCAUAUAAUUGAUAGGGCACUGUCAGGGAUUGAAUCCAGGGCCUUCACACUUAGCUAUAUCCCCAACCCCUCUUUGUUUUGGUACCUGGAAUCGAACUCGGGACCUUGCGCUUUUAAGAUCUGCAAGCAUGUCUUUCCUAGUGCCAGUACACCUGGUGUUAGCACGUGGAGGAUGAAGUCAGAUGAGCUGGGUGACGUCCAUGCCUUGUCGGUGGCUGGCUGUGUGGCGUUGGGUCAGUCAUUUGCCCAAGUUUGUGCAUGUAUGCAAUGUGGAUGGGAGUGACACCUACCCACUAUAAGGCUGGCAGGUUGGUGGCUUACUAUGACAGGAGCGUGCAGCACUUGGCAGCUUUUGUCAUCAGACCUCUGACACAGCCAUCUUAGCCACCAAGAAGAUAGAAGACAGAGUUAAAGCAGAAGUGUUCACCUGGCUGACUUAAGAGGAACACAGUUGUGUUAGUUACUUUUCUCUUGUACCUGAGACAAAAUACCCAACACCCAAAGUUAAAGGGGGAAAGGUUUAUUUGGCUUACAGUUCGUAAAGGUUUCAGUCCAUAAUCAGCUGGCUCCAAGCCAGGGUGGCAGAGGAGAAACAGUUCAUAGCAGCAUAAGACAGCUAAAGCAACAAGAGACCCUAACAGCAUCUUUCUGCCCCUUUUAUCCCAUCCAGACUACCGGGAUUAGGGCGGUGCCAAACCAGUCUCUCACUUACAGUGGUUUAGUAAUCACAUGCCCUUAAUCCCAGCAUCACACAUUCCAGAUUCAGCCACUUCUGAAAAAGAAAGUCCCCCCUCAUCUGCAUGAGGCUUUGGGGGGACUUCUAAACACAAGCCACAACAACAGUUUUUUAUCAUUUACAUUUAUAAGCAAAUCAUUUGGGAAUAAAGAAUGUAAAUUUAGAAGAAGAGAAAGAAUGUCUCAUGAAAGUAUAGGUGGCUGCAUGGAAGAUGAGUUCUGAGACUUGCAUUGUCACCUGCAAGCAGAGGGACAGAGGGGGAAGGGACACAAUCUGGACUCCAAGAGCUGCUUUGUAGUUAGCUGGGGACAGGAUGGAGCUCCCUGGAUCCUUAGGUGCAGUAAUGGUUUUCCUACCAUGCAUCAUCUUUCCCUUAUGGUCAUUUAUUAAAUUCUGGUUAAUGACUCCUCUUUCCCACUACUUCUAUCUAGAAACUCAUGUUCCCUCAGCCACCAUCCUUUUCACCUGAUAAACUCUGUUCAUCCUUCAAGGUGUCUUCUUUAUAAAAAAUUUCUUUUUGGGAGAUUUAGCUCAGUGGUGCUACCGCUUGCUUUGCAAGCACAAGGUCCCAAGUUUGAUCCCCAGUACCAAAAAAAAAAUUU